rnacentral:rRNA from 1 species
CCUACGGGCGGCAGCAGUGGGGAAUAUUGGGCAAUGGGCGCAAGCCUGACCCAGCAACGCCGCGUGAAGGAAGAAGGCUUUCGGGUUGUAAACUUCUUUUCUCAGGGACGAAGCAAGUGACGGUACCUGAGGAAUAAGCCACUGCUAACUACGUGCCAGCCGCCGCGGUAAUAAGUAGGGGGCAAGCGUUAUGCGGAUUUACUGGGUGUAAAGGGCGUGUAGGCGGUGACGCAAGUCAGAUGUGAAAACCACGGGCUCAACCUGUGGCCUGCAUUUGAAACUGUGUUUCUAGAGUACUGGAGAGGCAGACGGAAUUCCUAGUGUAGCGGUGAAAUGCGUAGAUAUUAGGAGGAACACCAGUGGCGAAGGCGGUCUGCUGGACAGCAACUGACGCUGAGGCGCGAAAGCGUGGGGAGCAAACAGGAUUAGAUACCCUUGUAGUC